rnacentral:lncRNA from 1 species
AUGGGGAAAUCCUCUGACAAUGUCAUGUGCAAGAAGGAUGUUCAUCUUGCCUCCAAAUCCAGUAUCAAAAAAGUAUGAAUGGCAGAACAGAAAAUAUAUGAUAAGAAGAAACAAGAAGAAUGAAGGCAGCAGUAUCUUAAAGAACAAUAAUCAUAUGAAAAUAGAUUGCUUAUGGGAGAUGAAUGUGUAAAGAAUGGCCUUAAUUUCAUUUGUGAGGCCCCACCAGGAGCUAAAAAAGGAAACAGAGAAAAAAGAAAACAGGAGAGAAUGAAGACAAAUUUAAAUGGCAGAAAGAAGCUCCAUGAGAAAAAUAUGCCAAAGAUCACAUAAACAAAAAAAAUUAGCCCUUUGAUAUUCAGGUUAGAAAUAUGAACUGCAUUAAAUGUCACAAAUGGGAUCAUGUCACUGCAGAUUGAGACUGUCCUUUGUUUGGUCUUUCUGGAAUCAAUGCAAGUUCAGUUCCCACUGAUGAGGCAGGU